CUAUCCCCAGCUCCCUGGACGAGGCUCCUUCUGGCCCUUUCUAGAAAGUUAUUCUCUUGGUUCUGCCUCCCUGGUGCCUCCUCUCAUCUCUCGCUGUCUUCCUCCUCCCUUCCUAGGAUCUGACCUGUGUCCCCAGUCAGACAAUGUCAGACGCCUUUAGGUGAGGGUAACCAAGGUUGGAGCCCUGUUUUAUGGGACUGUUUUAGAGGAAAUUAAAGGGACGGUUGGGUGGCUGGCUCCCAGCAGUUUCAGCAUCUCCAGAUCAGGCAGUGACGGGAUGCCCUGUCUCAUCUUUAUGUUCCACCAGGACCCCAGGUGGUGAUUCAGUUCUGUGCACACCCUUCUGUGCCUGCAGCGACAGGUGUCCUGCCAGUGAAUGUCACACCUCAGACUCCCGAGAGAUGGUCCUGCACCGGGAAAUGAAGUUAUCAACUUGGCAACUUAUUUUAUUACCAGUGUUCUUGCUGGAGUCCCAGGAUCUCAGCGCUUCCCCACACCUGGCUCCGUGUUCAGGCCAGCUUCUGAGCUAGGGGUCCUGUCUGCUCUCCUCCCUCUCCUCCCCUCUCUCCUCUCUGCGUGCAUGACAGCAUCACUCUCUUUUCCCUUCUUUCCCUCUUUCCUCCCUGUGUCUGUUUGUCUCUCUCUCUCCCUCCUCCCUCCAGGUUAAUCAGAGAGCUAUGAAUCAGACAGAUGUAAGCGAGAGGCUCCCUGUGUCCACCCUUAGGCCCAGAGCGGGAGUGGGGGGCUCCCCCAUCUCUCCCCAGCCCACUGCAGAGCAGACCUCCCCGCAAUUGUAGCCAAUCACAAAAUAAGCCCCUGGUUGUUUCCAAGCGAGCUCUGCACAGCAUUCCAUUAUGACAUUCUGAAAACCUGGUUACUUAUAAAGCAAUUUGCUCCUGCGGGC
rnacentral:lncRNA from 1 species